rnacentral:rRNA from 1 species
UACGUAGGGAGCAAGCGUUGUCCGGAAUCAUUGGGCGUAAAGCGCGCGUAGGCGCCCCGAUAAGUCCGCUGUGAAAGUCAACGGCUCAACUGUUGGAUGCCGGUGGAUACUGUCGGGCUAGAGUACGGAAGAGGCAAGUGGAAUUCCUGGUGUAGCGGUGGAAUGCGCAGAUAUCAGGAGGAACACCUAUAGCGAAGGCAGCUUGCUGGGACGUUACUGACGCUAAGGCGCGAAAGCGUGGGGAGCGAACAGG